UCUUUUCAUCUUUCCUUCAACGAAACCUUCUUCUACAGUACGCUUGGAUGAAAUCUGACCUUGAAUCUGUCGGCAGAUUCAGUACACCAUGGAUAGUUUUCACAGGUCAUCGACCUAUGUACUCCACUCAACUGCGGGGGAUUUAUUUCUAAACUUUACCAGGUGUGGAUCCGAAAUUUGUAGCAGCUGUGGAACCAUUGCUCUUGAGAAACAAGGUUGAUUUAGCAGUGUGGGGGCAAGUUCACAAUUACCUGCGAACUUGUGCUGUGUUUCAGGGCGCUGCCUGCAGCACCCGAUCAAGGAUUUAGCAGGCGUCGAUUUCUUUGACACUACAAUUUACUCAGCUCCAGUUCACACCGUGGUUGGCAUGGCUGAAUUCACCUUGGAUGACUUCCCUCAUAAUUUUAGUUCAUGGAGCUUGAUUCGAAGGUCGGCAUUUGGAUAUGCAAGAGUGACAGCUGAUAAGACAAAGCUACUGUUUGAGUACAUUACAACGGACGGACAGUAGCUGACCGAUUU